UUGGAGUUUGUUGCCUAGAGUGAUGGGCUCCGAAGCUAACGCGAUAAAUCGACCGCCUGGGGAGUACGGCCGCAAGGUUAAAACUCAAAUGAAUUGACGGGGGCCCGCACAAGCGGUGGAGCAUGUGGUUUAAUUCGAUGCAACGCGAAGAACCUUACCUGGUCUUGACAUCCACAGAAUCUUGCAGAGAUGCGGGAGUGCCUUCGGGAACUGUGAGACAGGUGCUGCAUGGCUGUCGUCAGCUCGUGUUGUGAAAUGUUGGGUUAAGUCCCGCAACGAGCGCAACCCUUAUCCUUUGUUGCCAUCGGUUNGGCCGGGAACUCAAAGGAGACUGCCGUUGAUAAAGCGGAGGAAGGUGGGGACGACGUCAAGUCAUCAUGGCCCUUACGACCAGGGCUACACACGUGCUACAAUGGCGUAUACAAAGGGAGGCGACCUCGCGAGAGCAAGCGGACCUCAUAAAGUACGUCUAAGUCCGGAUUGGAGUCUGCAACUCGACUCCAUGAAGUCGGAAUCGCUAGUAAUCGUGAAUCAGAAUGUCACGGUGAAUACGUUCCCGGGCCU
rnacentral:rRNA from 1 species